rnacentral:lncRNA from 1 species
AAAGACUGCGCUCUGCGGCCGAACCUGUGUCACCAGGUAAUGGGACAGUCCUGAGAUCCACAGGUGUCACCUAAGGGCUCCACAGCUGACUCAGCAGCAGGCAGCUACACAGUCACACACCCCCUCCUCAAGUCCAAACACACCCUGGCAGAGAGAAUAGUCCCAGCCACACAAGGUCACUGUGGACGGCAUGUGUUCCUUGAUGGUCCCAAAAUCCUGUUUUGGCUUUUUUUUUUUUUUUUAACUUGUUGGAGUGUUUUUCAAAUACCAGCUGAAAUGUAGCCCAGAAACACAGCUUGGACACCAUUUGUGUUUGUAAAGCCCCUUCCAGAGCCUAACAGUGCAGGUGUCCAGGGAGCUGGCAGGCCUGGCUCUAGAUACAGCUGUGCCUGGAGGGCCACUGGAUCCCCACCCGUUAGAUCUCGAGGGCAUCAGGUCUGUUCACUGCACCCAAAGGCAACGGAAAGUCAGGACCACAGGAGGACGCUGUGGGCUGCCCAGGGGAGGGAACAAACCUCUACACAUCUUUAUUCCACUUAGAAGGUGUCUGAGAGACACCGCCAUUCUCUGUGCUUUCAUUGUUGCGCCUUUGCGUUAAACUGUUUUUUAUUUUUUAUUUUUUAUUUUUUGUCUUUCAGUUGAAAUAUGAAGUGUACUGUCCCAACAUAAAACAGUGAUUAUUUGACCUUCACCCUGUUUGUCUGGUCCUUGCAUAGGUGUGUGGUAGAUCUCUGUAUUCUUAGAGCACUUGACAGGCUAACUGCCAAGGGCAGGCCUGACUCUGGAAGCUGGACUGAGUCACUGUGGUAGGCAGGCUUUUCUCUGACCAAAACUGUAGCUUUUGGGGACCUGCAGGUGUUGCCCAGGGCAGCUAAUUCCCACCCAGUCUCUCCUUCACUCAUCACCAGCAUGUCUGCCAAGAGCUAGGCUCCAGGGUGGUUUUUGUUUGCUUAAGCAAAAGGAGAAACCUUUCUAUUAAAGUUGUUGGGGUGGGGGGUGAGGAAGACGCAGGUAUGAACCCCAGCAUUAAGACUUUGACAGUGUACAAGAGCAGAAGUGUUUCAGUCAGUCAAGCCCCUGGAUAUUUAUAUGUGAAAGUUCCUUCUGAAACUAAAAUCUCAGCUGUACCCUAACGACACUGUCGCAAUACAAGUGGGAACACAGGAGCUUGCUGUCAACUUCAUCCCAUGCCACAAGGAAAUUGUCCGCGUCGUCCGGAAAACACAGAAUGGCUUUGGAUGUCUGCCCUGCAGCCAACAAGUGGUGAUCCGGGUUUUCUUUGGCUAGCCAGGUAUCUUGAAAUCAGUAGCACCGACCAGUGCCUCUGCCCUUGAAGAACUGGUGCUGGCUUGGUGAGGCCAUUGGGGGGUCGUGAACAGGACCUGAUUUUCCCUCUGGACCCAAGGCUAGAAUGUCUCCAGCUGGGAUCCCUGAGUUGGGCAGGCCCAACCCUCCAGUGGCUCCUGCAAUAGUUUUACUGUUUGUUUUUAAAGUAGCAUUUUCACCUACCCCUGCUGUGUUCGGCAGAAGCGGGGUUUCCUGUGGCCCUUCUCCCCGUGUCUGAUGGGGCCAAGGGUGUUUGGGGUCUAAGAACACAGGAGAUGGCAUAUGAUACUCAAAACCUUCUAGCAAUAUCUUGGGGACUUGACGAUGAGUUCUGUGGACUUUCUCCCUCUUGCCUUCUUCCCUGCCCCUUCAAGAGAGAACUUAUUUUUUGAAGAGCAUAUAUAGACACAUUAAGGUUUUAUACCACGCUGUAUUGGCAGGAAUACCACUUUUGUUGUGGUCUGUAAUUUAUCAGCCACAUCCUGCUUUCUGUUUCUUUCCUGGCUACAGUGUUUUGUCUCCCUGCUUGACCAUCCCUCUGUGUGUCCUGCUAUUUUUCUGUCUCUUUGGUACUUCAAUGGCUGCUACUCCUGACUUAGUGCUUUCUGGGAGAAGCCAGCGCAGCGCCUUUUGCCGUGUGCUGGCCUCUCUCAUGCUGUGUGCCCAGAGCACUGUAGUCUGCAGCAUGGUUUGUUUUCAGAGAUCCUGGGUUGAGGUGGUGUGAGAUGUGAUCCAUCAAUACUUCUAAUACUUUUCUUUAACUGUGGGCUUCUAAAAGAAAUAGUUGAUUGGCACCAUUAGAUUCCACUCGUGGAUGGCCAAAGAAAUUGACUGUUUAGCAUAUCUCAAAAUCAAACGGUGAGAAUCAGGAAGGCGCUCUGUGCUGGGAUAUGCCUGGAUGUCUUCCUUUGAGUUCUUACUCUGCCUAGGAGGGCAGUGGGUUGAAGAGGGCAUUCUUCUUUUUAGCUUUGAUCUAAAAAACCAAGCUUGCCUCUACCGCUGUCCCUAGAAUUGGUGCUCUGGUAUGUUGCUGUGAGUGGCUAGUUUGGGGGACUAUCUUUCUAAAGGUGGACGGCCUCCGCAGGAGAGCCGCGGGUGAAGAAUGGGAAGCGCGUUUCCAGAUGUUUCUUUCUGUAAAUAUGGUGCCAAUGUAAACCUCUGCUGAGACUGGAGAAUGGUGCUGGGGGGGGAGGGGCUGCAGUUAGUACACGUGUUUUUAGAAGCCAUCAUGAUUUAGAGACUCCAUGCUGUGUGUAAAGUUAUGUGUCCGUCCAUUAACAAAUAAAUUAUUUCAUU